UUUCAAAGACAUAUUUCUGAAAGUCACUGCUGUGGUACAAAUGAACAACCUUUAAUCCCAGGAGCUCCUUGAAUGAGCAAAGAAAGGUUUUCAUUUGUUUUUAAUUGCAGACUUUCUAUGCAUUUUCAUUCUGGCUUCUCCUGAGGCAGUAUGUGACAGAGAGACAGUCACUGGCAAAGGCGAAGGAGGAGACUCUACAGGAAGUGACUGGUGAUGAACAUGGUUAAGAGACAUAGGGCUGGAACAAUUUGAUACAGUGGAGCUGUUUGCAAAGAUUAUGCUACCUGUGGCUUUUCUCCUGGCAUGCAUCCUACAGCUGCAUUACUUUAAUGAAGACUUUCUCAAGAUCACCAGCCUGAAUAAUACUCCAAUCAGUUUGGAAGGCACACCUGACAGAAAUAAGACGAUUGAAAAUGAUGUACAUCUUCUGGCAGAUGUGUGAGUCUCUUAUUUUCUUUUAACUUUUUGCAGAAACUUUCUCACCAGCUAUC
rnacentral:lncRNA from 1 species